rnacentral:lncRNA from 1 species
AAAGAUGUCAGUCGACAGAAAUGUAUCUUCGGUCGACGGUGGUGACCGAGUAUCGGUCGACGGUGGUGACCGAGUAUCGGUCGACGAAACUAGUGUAUGGGUCGACGGUGGUUGACGAGAAUUGAGCGAUAAACUUUUGUUGUUGUCGAUCGAUGAGGAGCGCCUUCCUUUGCGGAUUGAACGUUCCAAACUUGCAGGGUCUGAUGAGAAUUGCAGUUGAG